GACGAACCGUGCGAACGUUGUUCGGAAUCACUGGGCUUAAAGGGCGCGUAGGCGGACCACCAAGUCAGGGGUGAAAUCCUGCGGCUCAACCGUAGAAGAGCCUUUGAUACUGGUGGUCUCGAGGGAGGUAGGGGCGUGCGGAACUUCCGGUGGAGCGGUGAAAUGCGUAGAUAUCGGAAGGAACGCCGGUGGCGAAAGCGGCGCGCUGGACCUCUUCUGACGCUGAGGCGCGAAAGCCAGGGGAGCAAACGGG
rnacentral:rRNA from 1 species